rnacentral:rRNA from 1 species
GACGAACGCUGGCGGCGUGCUUAACACAUGCAAGUCGAACGGAAAGGCCCUGCUUUUGUGGGGUGCUCGAGUGGCGAACGGGUGAGUAACACGUGAGUAACCUGCCCUUGACUUUGGGAUAACUUCAGGAAACUGGGGCUAAUACCGGAUAGGCGCUCCUGCUGCAUGGUGGGGGUUGGAAAGUUUCGGCGGUUGGGGAUGGACUCGCGGCUUAUCAGCUUGUUGGUGGGGUAGUGGCUUACCAAGGCUUUGACGGGUAGCCGGCCUGAGAGGGUGACCGGCCACAUUGGGACUGUGAUACGGCCGAGACUCCUACGGAAGGCAGCAGUGGGGAAUAUUGCACAAUGGGCUAAAGCCGUAUGCAGCAACACCGCGUGCGGGAUGACGGCCUUCGGUUUGGAAACCGCUUUCGCCUGUGACGAAGCGUGAGUGACGGUAAUGGGUAAAGAAGCACCGGCUAACUACGUG